rnacentral:ncRNA from 1 species
CUAUACUCCGCUUGUCGCUGCAACCACAGCGACCGGGAUUGGCGUCCCGAACG